GGAAGUAAAAGUGUAACAAGGUUUCCGUAGGUGGACCUGCGGAAGGAUCAUUACAGAGUUCAUGCCCUCACGGGUAGAUCUCCCACCCUUGAAUAUUUAUACCUUAGUUGCUUUGGCAGGCCGUGGAAACACCAUGGGCUCCGGCUUAUGCGUGCCUGCCAGAGGAAACAAACUCUGUUUUUAGUGAUGUCUGAGUACUAUAUAAUAGUUAAAACUUUCAACAACGGAUCUCUUGGUUCUG
rnacentral:misc_RNA from 1 species